rnacentral:rRNA from 1 species
UAGGGAAUCUUCCGCAAUGGACGCAAGUCUGACGGAGCAACGCCGCGUGAGUGAAGAAGGAUUUCGGUUCGUAAAACUCUGUUGUUAGAGAAGAACAGCGCAUAGAGUAACUGUUAUGCGUGUGACGGUAUCUAACCAGAAAGCCACGGCUAACUACGUGCCAGCAGCCGCGGUAAUACGUAGGUGGCAAGCGUUGUCCGGAUUUAUUGGGCGUAAAGCGAGCGCAGGCGGUCAAUUAAGUCUGAUGUGAAAGCCCCCGGCUCAACCGGGGAGGGUCGUUGGAAACUGGUUGACUGGAGUGCAGAAGAGGAGAGUGGAAUUCCAUGUGUGGCGGUGAGAUGCGUAGAUAUAGGGAGGAACACCAGUGGCGAAGGCGACUCUCUGGUCUGUAACUGACGCUGAGGCUCGAAAGCGUGGGUAGCAAACAGG